CCGCCAUCGGCUCGAAGGUCCAUGCCGGCGCCCGCUCUUCAGUACCGGUGGAAUAGAGUGUGACGAUCUCGGCCUGCUGCUGUCUCGCAGUUUGAGAAAUGAUCGUAUCGGCGUUGGCCGCCGUAAGCGUGCCGGCCUUGAGACAGGCCGCGACCACCUCGGCUGCGGACGCGCCGGAUCCGGUCAGAUCGACUUUCAGCCCCAUCAUGUGAUGGAAGCGAUAGUUCAUCACGGCGAGGCAACCAUUUGCGUCGAACAUGCAAAGACCAUGAGGCAUGUUGUUCAAUGCCGUGUCGAACUGAGCCGCGAUCGCUGCUUCUCGCUCGUUUGCCAGCAGCGCUUUCACAAAGAUCGAGUGAAGGCUGAGAUUGAUGUCCUUCAAACCCAGGAAGAACAGCACUAGCAAUCCCGCCAGCCCGAUAUGGUAGAGAUCGCCGUGGAUGGCGAGC
rnacentral:misc_RNA from 1 species